rnacentral:rRNA from 1 species
GGGCCGGGAUGAACUAGCAUGCGAGUCAUUGUAGCAAUACAAGGCAGACGGCUCAGUAACGCGUAGUCAACCUACCCUAUGGACGGGGAUAACCUCGGGAGACUGAGAAUAGUACCCGACAGAACAUUAUGCCUGGAAUGGUUUAUGUUUCAAAUAAUUUAUUGCCGUAGGAUGGGACUGCGGCCUAUCAGUUUGUUGGUGAGGUAAUGGCCCACCAAGACUAUUACAGGUACGGGCUCUGAGAGGAGUAGCCCGGAGAUGGGUACUGAGACACGGACCCAGGCCCUAUGGGGCGCAGCAGGCGAGAAAACUUUGCAAUGUGCGAAAGCACGACAAGGUUAAUCCGAGUGGUUUCUGCUAAAGGAACCUUUUGUCAGUCCUAGAAACACUGAUGAAUAAGGGGUGGGCAAGUUCUGGUGUCAGCCGCCGCGGUAAAACCAGCACCUCAAGUGGUCAGGAUGAUUAUUGGGCCUAAAGCAUCCGUAGCCUGCUUUGUUAGUUUUCGGUUAAAUCCAUACGCUCAACGUAUGGGCUGCCGGGAAUACUGCAAAGCUAGGGAGUGGGAGAGGUAGACGGUACUCGGUAGGAAGGGGUAAAAUCCUUUGAUCUAUUGAUGACCACCUGUGGCGAAGGCGGUCUACCAGAACACGUCCGACGGUGAGGGAUGAAAGCUGGGGGAGCAAACCGGAUUAGAUACCCGGGUAGUCCCAGCUGUAAACUAUGCAAACUCAGUGAUGCAUUGGCUUGAUGCCAAUGUAGUGCUGCAGGGAAGCCGUUAAGUUUGCCGCCUGGGAAGUACGUACGCAAGUAUGAAACUUAAAGGAAUUGGCGGGGGAGCACCACAAGGGGUGAAGCCUGCGGUUCAAUUGGAUUCAACGCCGGG